rnacentral:rRNA from 1 species
UACGAGGGGGGAGCGAGCGUUGUUCGGAAUUAUUGGGCGUAAAGGGCGCGUAGGCGGUUUGACAAGUCUUAUGUGAAAAUCUAUGGGCUCAACUCAUAGUCUGCAUGAGAAACUGCCGGGCUUGAGUGUGGGAGAGGUGAGUGGAAUUUCCGGUGUAGCGGUGAAAUGCGUAGAUAUCGGAAGGAACACCUGUGGCGAAAGCGGCUCACUGGACCACAACUGACGCUGAUGCACGAAAGCUAGGGGGAGCAAACAGG